rnacentral:rRNA from 1 species
AUACGUAGGUGGCAAGCGUUGUCCGGAAUUACUGGGUGUAAAGGGCGUGUAGGCGGGGAUGCAAGUCAGAUGUGAAAUUCCGGGGCUCAACCCCGGCACUGCAUCUGAAACUGUGUCUCUUGAGUGCUGGAGAGGAAAGCGGAAUUCCUAGUGUAGCGGUGAAAUGCGUAGAUAUUAGGAGGAACACCAGUGGCGCAGGCGGGUUGCUGGAGAGUAACUGACGCUGAGGCGCGAAAGCGUGAGUAGCGAACAGGAGUAGAUACCCUGGUAGUCCACACUGUAAACGAUGAAUACUAGGUGUGCGGGGACUGACCCCCUGCGUGCCGGCGUUAACACAAUAAGUAUUCCACCUGGGGAGUACGAUCGCAAGGUUGAAACGUAUGACUGGCU